rnacentral:rRNA from 1 species
AUUGAACGCUGGCGGCAGGCCUAACACAUGCAAGUCGAGCGGAUGAAGGGAGCUUGCUCCUGGAUUCAGCGGCGGACGGGUGAGUAAUGCCUAGGAAUCUGCCUUGUAGUGGGGGAUAACGUCCGGAAACGGGCGCUAAUACCGCAUACGUCCUGAGGGAGAAAGUGGGGGAUCUUCGGACCUCACGCUAUCAGAUGAGCCUAGGUCGGAUUAGCUAGUUGGUGGGGUAAAGGCCUACCAAGGCGACGAUCCGUAACUGGUCUGAGAGGAUGAUCAGUCACACUGGAACUGAGACACGGUCCAGACUCCUACGGGAGGCAGCAGUGGGGAAUAUUGGACAAUGGGCGAAAGCCUGAUCCAGCCAUGCCGCGUGUGUGAAGAAGGUCUUCGGAUUGUAAAGCACUUUAAGUUGGGAGGAAGGGCAGUAAGUUAAUACCUUGAUGUUUUGACGUUACCAACAGAAUAAGCCCCGGCUAACUUCGUG